AGCUGUGAAGAUAGAACUAAUUUAGUGACGGCCUGGUCCGUCACAGUCGUCCCGAUCAUCCGUGACGAUAGCAAGUGCCGUCUGAGCU
rfam:Arabidopsis lyrata subsp. lyrata unplaced genomic scaffold ARALYscaffold_3, whole genome shotgun sequence.